UACGGAGGGUGCAAGCGUUAUCCGGAUUCACUGGGUUUAAAGGGUGCGUAGGCGGACAGGAAAGUCCGUGGUGAAAUCCUGCAGCUUAACUGCAGAACUGCCGUGGAUACUCUCUGUCUUGAAUAUCGUGGAGGUGAGCGGAAUAUGUCAUGUAGCGGUGAAAUGCAUAGAGAUGACAUAGAACACCGAUUGCGAAGGCAGCUCACUACGCGAAGAUUGACGCGGAGGCACGAAAGCGUGGGGAUCAAACAGG
rnacentral:rRNA from 1 species